AUUGAACGCUGGCGGCAUGCCUUACACAUGCAAGUCGAACGGUAACAGGUCUUCGGAUGCUGACGAGUGGCGAACGGGUGAGUAAUACAUCGGACGUGCCCGAUCGUGGGGGAUAACGGAGCGAAAGCUUUGCUAAUACCGCAUACGAUCUACGGAUGAAAGCAGGGGACCGCAAGGCCUUGCGCGGACGGAGCGGCCGAUGGCAGAUUAGGUAGUUGGUGGGAUAAAAGCUUACCAAGCCGAAGAUCUGUAGCUGGUCUGAGAGGACGACCCGCCACACUGGGACUGAGACACGGCCCAGACUCCUACGGGAGGCAGCAGUGGGGAAUUUUGGACAAUGGGCGAAAGCCUGAUCCAGCCAUGCCGCGUGGAGGAUGAAGGCCUUCGGGUUGUAAACUGCUUUUGUACGGAACGAAAAGCCUCUUUCUAAUAAAGAGAGGUCAUGACGGUACCGUAAGAAUAAGCACCGGCUAACUACGUGCCAGCAGCCGCCGUAACAC
rnacentral:rRNA from 1 species